rnacentral:lncRNA from 1 species
AUCAUCAUAAGAGAGCUUAUUUGUUAUAUUGUUUGUAAUAAUGCAUUAUGUUUAUUUGUGUUGCAUAUUCUACUUGCAAAUUUUCCUUAUUACCUUUUUUCAUCACUCUCUGUAUCUCUUAAAGAAAUUUCUAGAUUUUUUUAUGCACUCUAUUAAGCAUAUUCAAGUGAAAGAAACAUGCAAUUGUAAGAAUCGGACUAAAACAAUCAAAAUUUGUUUUUCGGAACCUGGGACUUCCUUUUGUGGAAAAAAUAAUCCUUUUCUAUUAUCUUUGUGAUAUCAUCAGCACCUCACAACAAAAUUUGUAACUGGAACAAUUAUCUAUUUGAUUGGUGUUGUUUUAGGUGCCUAGAUAUCUAUGAUUUUCAGACUUUCCAACCACUAGAUGUUUAGUGUAGUCAAUUUCACCAUGUUGCAUCAAAUAAUGUCAUUUAAGUCUUAUAAUCAACUGUAUUAAUCUCAUCAUUAUCCUCAACUGGUAGGUCGAAUUAUGUGCAAACUGUGAAAACAGCACGCUGGGAGUACAGCACCCGUCCAGUUUAUGGCUGGGGUGAUGUCAAAUCAAAGCAGAAAUCAACAGCAGGCUGGCUUGCAGCAUUUCCUGUGUUUGAACCUCAUUGGCAAAUAUGCAUGGCAGGUGGUCUGUCAACAGGUAUUAAUUGCAUUGUGACCGAUGCAAGAAAGAAACCUGAGGUCCUAAGCAUUCCUGUUAGAGUGUCAUUUGUGAAAAUGAAUAUAGUAUCUUGUCAUUUGCCUACCUUAUGUAGUAAACAGUUAAAUAAAUUAUUUGCAUGCAAGAUUUGAUAUAGAUGUAUACAUAUUCAUCUAGACAUGUCAUUUUCAUGUGUACCUGUGCAUGUUCAUCGUUUGUUCGGGUGAGGGGCUUGGGGAUGUUGGGCAGGGAAAAGUUCCUUCAAUUCCUGAUUCCACAGCAGAAGAGAGCAUUUUCUUUAGAGCUUAGUUUGUCCAUGUUGAUUACUGGUGAUAACCUAACCAGUGAUUGAAAAAGGCGCUCGGGCGCUCGCCUAGGCGCUCGGGCGAGGCGAGGCCCGAGCGCCUCGCUAAUGUCCCAGGCGACACGCUUCAAACAGGCGCCGCCUGGGCGCUUCGGGCGAGCGCCUGGGUAAACCAAGUGACCGAACCAGGAUUUUAGGUCUGGUUCGAUACUGGUUCGGUUGUUAGUUGGUUCAAUCGAACCAACUAAACCGAUAUAUCCCUUACCCAACCAUAACCCUUACCCAACCCUAACCCGUUGCCGCUGCCGCUCCCGAUCCCGAUCUCGCUGCUCGUCGCUCCUCUUCCCGCUGCCGCUGCUCGCCGUUGUCGCUGCUCGCGCCUCCCGCGAGCCCUCCCGCGAGCCUUCCCGCUGCUCGCGACUCCCGCGAGCCCUCCCGCUGCUCGCGCCUCCCGCGAGCCCUCCUGCUGCUCAUGCCUCCCGCUCCCUUUCCCUUUCCCGCCGUCGCUGCUUCCUCGUUUCUCCGUCAGGCUCAGUAUACAGUAUACUCUUAAUAUUAAGUUUAUUUGAAUUUUGAAAUGAUUAAUUUUCAAUACUGUUAAUAGAUUAAUAAUAUAUUAUUUUGAUUUUAAUGUUGUUAAUUUUUAUUUAUUUGAAAUUAUUGUUAGGUUUCAACAUAAAUGACUUUGAUGUAAAAUUUUAUUGUUUUGAAUUUUGAAACUUUUUGUUAAUGUGACAUUGUGAUUUUGUAUCUUAGAUUUUCUUAAUUUAAUAGCAUAUUUUUAUUUAAAAUUUUAAAUAAUUAUAUUUAUUAAUUAUAUUAUAUAUUUUUAUGUUUUAGCGCAUCGCUUCGUUCGGGCGAGCGCCUAACGCCUCCGGCGUUUUUGGACCUUGGCGCCUAGCGCUUUUUAAAUCACUGAACCUAACUUCUCUGUAAUUUAUUCCUCUCUUUGUGAUUACUUUUCACGUUGUAUCAAGCCUUUUGACUUUGGUGUAGUAUCUCUUUGUUACAGAGACAAAUUUAAGAAAGCAGCAUUAGUUGCUUUGUUGGACAGUUUGCUACAUUCCCCCCGGAGAAAUAACAUGCAUUACCCCUAAUGGUUUAAAUAAAUGAGCUAACGGUCCAACCAAUAUACAAGGAAAUAUUUAAAUAAUUUCUGUCACAACCAAAGUACCAGAGGUCCUAUUUUUUUUUAGGUCUAGAUCUCUGAUUAUCUGGUGCCUAUUGUAAUCAAUAGCUGAAUUGUAGUAUAUAAGGAGACCCAGUAUAACAUCUCCAAUCCAUAAUUAUUAUUGCUCUAAAUGGAGUUUACUCCAUGAGUGGAGUUUUGCAGGUCAGACUUUUUUAAAGACAAAUAUUUACUCUAUUUAAAAAUCCUCACAAUUCUAAUAUGCUUAUCACGGGCCCAAUGGUAGAUCCAGUAUUUAGGACCUAGAAAUAUUAAAAUUUAAAAUAAAUUUAUCUUAGCCUGUUUGGCUUCUAUGUGCAAUUUACAGGUU